CUUUGCUAGCCCUGGCUCCACCUAGGCCAUGUGGCACAACCAUUCCUCCAUGACAGGGUCUGUUUCUGCUUGUGCUCAUCAUGGUCUAGGUCCUGGGACAUGAACAAAAAGGACUAGAAUCUCUGCAGAGAGCUGAAAGUCAUUGGAGAGAGGCAGACAAUGAGCAAAAUAAAUGCCAUCUAUGAUGUAGGACAAAUCAGAAGGUGGUGGGUAUGAUGGCGAUGGUUCACAGGGAAGGACUGGGAACCUGGGUGGGCCUUGCCUUAGGCUCCCUGCUAUCCCUCUCUCUGGCAUCAUGCCUUCCCCACCCUUCCUUGUGUUCCCAAUCCCUGUGCAGGAAGCUUCUUGGCAGCAUUGGGGGUGGGGGUAGGGAGUGAUGGGCAGACUGCUGCACUGACGGGAAGGGUGUCCCCCAGCUCCAGUCUAAUGCUUCUGGGAAGGAGGGGCAGGAGAAGGAGUGAGCUCACCCUUCUGGAGGGUGUCCCAGGCACACCCCUCAGCUGUCAGGUUGGCUCCUGGGCUGGGCUCCUUUUGCAUGGAGGAAAGGAGGGUGAAUCUUCCUCCCUCAAUGGAUGCAGCCCCAGAAGGCGUGCUGGGUCUGGGUGCCUGUGGGACUGCUGGCAGGCAGCGCUCUCAGCAUUACUGGGGAAGUUGCCAGCACAGGCAGAGACAGUCCCAGGCUCCUUAGCCACCAGCUUUAUCACUUUAGUCCUCAAAUAACCCACCAAGCCUCUUUGGUGAGACGGGAACCUUCCUCCCCAAUUGCUGUGGCCUGGCAUGAGGCUGACUCAGUCAUUCAGUAGGUGCUGACUGGAUGUGUCAGGCUCUGUGUGGGUGUGACCCUGUGCCGCAUGCCGCCUCUGGGCACAGAGAAAGCCCUGUAGGUUCUGCGUGGCCGUCAUCAUUCCUCAUCAGUCCUACAAAGAGAGAGUGGGUGAGGGCCCUGGGAGGGUGCCAAAGAGGCAAGGAGGAGAGAGCCAUUGCAGGCAGGGCAGUGCAUGGACACAGCAGAGGGGGGACGCAGAGCUGGGCCUGCACACCUGCGGUGGUGGGAGACGAAAAUCGAGAUAUUUCCAGGACAGCUGCUCUGAGGUGGCCUGACAACCAGUGGAAGGAGAGUGCACAGCACAGAGGAUAG
rnacentral:lncRNA from 12 species